AAUAGAUAUUUGAAGAAUACACAAAUAUUUUAAAUAAUAAUAAUAAAAAUAUUAUACACGCGCGCGCGUUUAAUGCAUAUAAAUAUACUUUUGGUUAGAUUACAUACGGGUUUUAGAUCGGAAUCACACCCUACUCAUUAUAUAAGUAAGAUAAUAAUUUAAAAAACAUACACGCGUUCGGGUCGGAAUCAUCAACUUUGAAUUAAAAUGACAUCAUUACUAAGUGAUAAGCCUAUAUAUAUAGUGAGUUUGAAUUAAAGACGGGAGUUGUAAUCUAAUUAAAAAAGAAAAUGUAGACUUCGAACAAUAAAUGAUAGUCCCACACAACUACUUCAGGUCUGGGAAAAUGAUGUUUCAAAGCAUUUAUAGCUUAGGUAGCAGUUUAUAGACGCCCUUCAUAAAUAGAAGACAAGAAAGCACCAACAAAAAAGAGUUGUCCUCCGGCUGAGUUGAUGCGGGGAAUUUUCAUUUGAGAUAUAUCCAGCUGUGUGAUUAAUACUCUUUUCAUGAAAAUGAAGCUCACCUGCAAGUUGGGUUCUGCAGAUAUAUACAAGUUGUAUGUUAUGAACUAAUGAUCAGCAUGGAGAAUAUCAUUUCUCUGUUAAAUAUUGCAACACGUGUUUGAGAAGCUGUGUAAUUAAUGAGAUAACCUAUAGUGUGUUUCACUUUUUGUUGUAACAGGUGCAUCCCAAUUCCUAUGCUCUAGUGAUCAGUAUGGAGAACAUCACUCUUAAUCGGUACUUUGGCAAUGACCGGUCCAUGCUUGUCUCCAACUGCUUAUUCCGUAUGGGUGGUGCUGCAAUCCUUCUCUCCAACCGAUCAUCCGAUCGCCGCCGCUCAAAGUAUCAACUAAUCCACACUGUUCGAACACACAAGGGGGCUGAUGAUAAGUGUUACAAUUGUGUGUUCCAAAAAGAGGAUAACACCAGAAGAGUUGGUGUUUCGCUUUCUAAGGACCUCAUGGCUGUUGCUGGAGAAGCCCUUAAAACCAAUAUCACAACACUAGGGCCGUUAGUCCUUCCCAUGUCAGAGCAACUCCUAUUUUUUGCUACUUUAGUAGGAAGAAAGAUCUUCAAAAUGAAGAUAAAACCGUACAUUCCUGAUUUCAAGUUGGCUUUUGAGCACUUCUGCAUCCAUGCUGGUGGGAGAGCUGUGUUAGAUGAACUAGAGAAAAAUCUGGAGCUCUCUGACUGGCACAUGGAGCCUUCAAGAAUGACUCUUUAUAGGUUCGGUAACACUUCUAGUAGCUCUUUGUGGUAUGAAUUGGCUUACUCCGAGGCCAAAGGGAGAAUUAGGAAGGGUGAUAGAACUUGGCAGAUUGCUUUCGGUUCAGGAUUCAAGUGUAACAGUGCGGUGUGGCAUGCAUUGAGGACAAUCAAUCCGGCAAAAGAGAAGAAUCCUUGGGUUGAUGAAAUUGAUGAAUUCCCUGUUCAUGUGCCUAAAGUGGUGCCCAUCGCCUCUUGAAUCUUUCUCUUUUUGUUUUUUUUUUUUAAAAUGGAUCGAUUGUUAAAUGUAAGUGAAUUUAUGUGCGAUAUAUGAAGUGGCCAUUGCCUAUUUUCUCCUUUUCUGUUCUUUGGUUACAUUCUAUUCUUCUUCUUCUUAUUAUUUCGAGAAGUAGUGUUUUAGUUGUUAUUAGUCAAUGAAUGUCAUUCAUGUGCAAGAUGGUUGAAGAGUUUAACAUUCCUUUAUUGUUUUGUUUGCUCGAAAACAUUUAUUAAGCUAGAUACUUUAUCUCUGCUGUGGGAUAAUCAAUCUAGAAAAAGAAAGGAAAAGAAGUAAGAAAAGAAAAACCCUUGGUAGGAUAUUAACAAAUUAAAAAAAAAAAAAGGGAGCGAGAUACUUUAUCUCUAAAUACAAAAUAUUAUUCACUUGAAUAAUAUUUUGUUCAUUUUUUUUAGUUUUAUUUUUUUUAAUUUUUUUUCAUUUUGAAUUACAACAUUCAAUUUAGAGAUUGAGUUUUAUAAUUUGGUUUACUUUAUUUUUUUUACGAGGUUAUUCCAGUCUCAUCAUCCGAACCGCGAGUUUGACCGGUUAAUUCAAUUAAUUGACAAUUUUUUCCUUUAAUUUCAUUUUUAACAUUGAGUUGAAUGAUAAUUAGGCUUCAUGAUUUUUUUUAUUUGCUUUCUAUGAUGUUAUUCUCAUUUUAUAACUCGGGUCACGAGUUUGAAAGGUUAAUCCGAGUUAACUCAAGUUGUUUUUUUAAUCGAUUUUUCAAUUUCAAUUACAUCCUUCAACAUUAUAUUUGUUGGGGAUUGAGCUUCAUAAUUUAUUUUAAUUUGUUUUCUAUUAAGUUAUCCAAGUCUCAUGACCCGGGUCGCGGGUUUGACAAGUUAAAUCAAAUUGACAAAUUACCUGAGAGGAUCUGUCGUUUUAGAGAAUCAACUUGUUUGUAUACGGCUGAAGCAAUUUAUCAUUAGAAUUCAAUUGAAAGACAAGGCCUUGUAUUGAACAAACAAAGACUUGGGAGGAUGAUAGAUUAAUAUUUUUCAUAUAUGUUUUUUUUACUUGGAUCCUCAUUGAGAAGAACCCAGGGCAACAAUCAUUAGAUAUAGUUAAUUGAGAAGAACCCAGGGCAAUAAUCAUUAGAUAUAGUUAAGUGUUAGCCUAAAUAUACAUAAAUCCAGAAAGGUUACCAAACUCAAUGUUAUUAGACUCGACCAUCACCGAGCCUAAUUAUACAUGGAUUUGGGUAGACUACCAAACAUGCUAUCCCAAUCAUAAAAGAUAACGAGAGUACUGGAAAUCUUAAGCCUUUCUUAUUCAUGAUUGCCAUAAGCAAAUGAACUGUCAUUUAUAAAGACUUGAUAGUGUGUUCAUGUCAAUGCAUUGCUUGCUGUCGAGUCUUUAUAAAUGACUUGACAACAUGCUCUUUAAUUUCUUCCACCUCUUUCUUUCUUAGUAGAACUGGGUCGUUGAUAUAGUUUUUUUGGUCUGUAAAACGAUACCAAACCAGAUUUUUCACCAAAAACAUUUUAUCAUUAUGUCAUCACGAUCGGGUGGACUCUGCCCUUCUCGAAUAACUUCUGCCUCCUUAGUCUUAAAUAUCUCCUGCAAUUUCCAAAACUAUUCGAAAUACCAAGAAGUUUAAAACCAAUUUGAAAUAUACAACUACUAACAUCAAUUAAUAAUUUCCGCUGCUUCAUAUUGUCAGAACACUUCGGUAAUAUCAUUUUUUUAGAAUUCGUCAGGCGAAAGCAAAUGACAACUAUAAUUAAAGAAUAUAAAAAAUUUUAAGAGUGAAAUGGAUGGUAGAUGUUAAUCCUAAAUUCAUAAAUUUAUUUUUUAAUAAUGAAGUUUGUCUCAUGAAAAAGUUACAAAGCUUUAAAUAGACUGAAAACUCUAUCUCAACUAGUAAACAAAAAAAAAUCCAAAAUUAAAAAGAAAAAAAGUAUAAAAUCUGAAAAUAAUAAAGAAAAUCAUAAAAAUUAUGAAAACCAGGAAUCUCAGCGAGAUUUUUGAUAUCUACAGAUCUAAAGGUCCGCACAACGAUACAUUAGUUGCUAUAAGAAAAACAGUCUCUGAAAACUUCUAUAAAAAUUUUAGCGCAUUAAUCCACCAGUCAGAUAAAAUAUUAAGAUCCUUUUAAGUAGUUAUUUUAGUUUGGCAUGAUCAAAUUUUUUCUUGAACUUAGAUCUAUUUAAUUAGUUUAUAAAUAUAUAUGUUAAGCCAUUGAUAUAAUUUGUUUAAAGAAAAAAUUCUUUAUUUAUUUAUAAUAAAUUUAUAUAUAACUAUUCGAAAUCACUUGUUUCUGGGACCCGAGUAGACUGCAUGGCAGAUGCUAUAUUGCAUUUCUAACUUUGUUCUAUAUAAUAGUCACUGUUUGAAUUAACAUGUUGGUUGCGAUUUCGAACAUUUCUAUGUUUUUUUAUUAUUAUUUGAAAACAUGGCAGAUGCAAAGUGUACUUACAAAACUUUGAUUCGACUGAUCAUCAUUCCAUUCCAUACCAUCGCAUCUGUUUUGAUGCAUGCGUAUCUAACCAAGCUUUAGAUGGUUUAGGUAAUGCACACGUUUCCUCAUCAAUCUUACGAUGUACAAUAUUUAAAAGUUAAUGUCAAAUCAUUUAGUGUUUACAAUAGAUCAUGUUGUCCUAGGAUCCGAUUAUCUUACGUUUUCAUUUAUAUUUAUAUUCAAUAACGAUCUCAACCUAAAAAUUUAAAUUUUUAGAUAAAAUUUUAAAAUAUAAUUUAUAUUAUUUUUUAACCUAUUUUCUCAAGUAAAAACCCUUUUAGACUUGAAACUUACACAAAUUCACUUUACCUUGUGCUUAAUUUUUAUCAAAUAAAUAGAGAUGGUGAAAUUCGAACUUGUGACUGCAUGGUUAUCAAUGCUAUGAUACCAUGUUAAAGAACCAUCUUAAUCUAAAAACUUAAGCUUUUAGGUGAAAUCCCAAGAUAUAAUUUAUAUUAUUCUCUAAUAGUAGCCGUUAUUUUUUUAAUUAAAAAUAUAUUAAAAUAAUAUAUUUUUAUAUUUAAAAAAUUAUUUUUAAUAUCAAAUAUAAAAAAAUUAAAAAAUAAUAAAUUUUUUUAAGACCAACAGUUUCAAUCGUAUUCUCCGCUACAGGCUCACUAGGGCUGCUUUCUGGGACCAGUUUUUGUUACAUCUGUGCACUCGAAAUAGCCCGAACAUUUAAAUUUCUGUGAGAAGAAUUUUCAAACUCUAAAACUAGAAGGGUCCAAUUAAUACCGGGAGAAAAUUAUAUAUUGGUAGUAUUCUUGAAUGUCAGUUUGUUGACUUCAAAGUAACAUUAAUUAACAAAACACUAGAACAGCCCGGUGUUUGCCAGUUCACACUCGCGCUCUAUUUGCACAGUGCUUUUUUUUCGGUUGAUUUUUCAAGUUUAUCCUUUUAUAUUGAAUCGAUUUAAUAUUGGCUUUAAUGGUUUGUUUCGAUGAACUUAAUCAUGUGUUGUGAAAGUGUAAAAAAAAUAUCUUGAUUUUUAAUAAGUUCUUGUUUUUGCAAAAAAAAAAAAAAAAGGUUCAAAAUUUAUGUUUUUCAAAAGAUUAAAAAUGAUGGGACUAGAAUUGACAUCUAAAAAAAUGACAGCCCUCAUUAGCAGUCUUGUCUCUAAAGAAAAUAAAAAACAAAAAGAAAUCAAGCACGCAAACCGAGAAGAUAAAAGAGAGAGGGACGUAAAAAAAUGAGUUGUUGGAGCAACGUCGAUGGUACACCAUCAGCUCUCAUCAUCGCGGGAAGGAAUUCUCGUUGAGGUGAUUUCAAUAUCAUUAAAGAUACAAGUGCUUUUUAUAUAUUUCUACUUUUAACAUUAUAUAAUUCAAAAAAUUAAUUUAAAAAAAUAAAAUUAAUUAAACCUGAACAAGUAAGUUCAUGAUCGGAUUAAUGAGUUUUGCAUGACGUCAAUGUUAGUUUAAAAUGUUCUCGCUUUAAAAGUAAUUAAAAAGAAAUUAAAUAGUAGUGUCUUUAUUUUGCCUUGAACGAGUAAACUUGGUUUUAUUAUGAAUUUAUACAUUUUUUUAAAAAAAUAAAUUAUUUAUAACUCGCCAAAUGUUGCUGACACUUGUACUCUGUACCCGCAGCGAGGCUCCUCAACGAAACUAGAUCAAACUAAUAAUUAAUGCCUUAUCUUGAGUGGAAUCUUUAACGCUCUACUGACCUCGACUUUGGUUUCUAGUGAUUUCUUAGGCUGCUUUUGUUGCAACUGUGUUACAACAUAGUAAACAAUGGCGCACCUUGUAGUAGAGGAAUAACCAGCCCUUCCCCUUCCUCUUCGCCUUCUCCUUCUCCUUCUUCGAACCAGCUUGGGGCUGCUUUUGUUGCAACUGUGUUACAACACAAUAACAAUGGCGCGCCUUGCAGCAGAGGAAUAACCAGCCCUUCCCCUCCUUCUCCUUCUUCUCCUUCUCCUUCUUCUCCUUCUUCACCAUGUCUCCACUGUUCUGCAACGUGAACAGUGGAGACUCCACUGUUCACGUUGAAGAACAGUGGAGCGCAGCUCCCUCACCACCGCCCAGGGCCGCCGCCCCUUAUCCUUCUCCUUCUUCUCCUUCUCCUUCUUCCUCUUCCUUUUCUUCUUCUUCUGCACCAUGUCUCCACUGUUAACGUUGAAGAACAGUGGAGCGCAACUCCCUCACUAUCGACCAGGGCCGCCGCCCCUUCCCCUUUGUUGUAACCCAAUUUUGGAUCCACCAAGAUUUUCUCAAAUGUUAUUUUAUUUCUAUUAUUAUUUAUAAAAAUCCAAAAAAAUUAAGAAAAAGGAAAAUUCAAAAAUAUAUUUUUCUCGAGUCAACCGCAUCUUUCCAUAAGAACCGAUUCCACCGAGUCAAUACGGGUCAAAACAUGUCGACCAGGGUAAAAAAUGAGUUUCAAGCCGUUUCGGGUCAAAACUGUCAUUUUCGGUCAAAACCGAGUCCACCGAGUCAAUACGGGUCAAAACAUGUCGACCAGGGUAAAAAAUGAGUUUCAAGCCGUUUCGGGUCAAAACCGUCAUUUUCGGUCAAAACCGAGUCCACCGAGUCAAUACGGGUCAAACCGUGUCGACCAGGGUAAAAAAUGAGUUUCAGGCCGUUUUCGGGUCAAAACCGUCAUUUUCGGUCAAAACCGAGUCCACCAAGUCAAUACGGGUCCAACCAUGUCGACCGGGGUAAAAAAUGAGUUUCAGGUCAUUUUGGGUCAAAACUAUUAUUUUCGGUCAUUAAAAUUAAUUUUUAGCGGUUGAAACGAGGUUUUUCUAACACUGAAUUGAGUUUUUAAUUUUACCUAUAUAAAUAUAUAUUAUUAUACAUAAUAAAAAAUAAAAUAAAAAAUUUUGUCAAAGCAGUUGCGCCGAAAGCAAACGGUGAUUUAAAAAUAAGAUUUGUGGAAAUUUAAGAUUCGCAUGUCCCCUGUCAUUGGCUAUAAAUAGCCGGUGAUAGUUCGCGAGAGAGGGGGGAAGAAGGAAAAAAAGAAAAAAAAGAAUUGCAAACAAUAUUCACGUUUUUUUACUAUUUCUUCAGGUAAGAUAUUAAUUUUUAUUAAAAACAAUAUGGAAAAUACAAAAUAUAUCCUAACCGUUAGAUCUAAUAGUGUUUAGAUCUGAACCGUUGAUUUAAUAGGAUACAAUAGGGCUUACCACACCCAAUUAAAACCCAAAUCAAUCUCAGCCCUUAAAACAAUUUUCCCUUAGAUCCAGUGGCGCCACGUCACCCAGUGUACCAAGCUCUCGGUGCACCACGUCACACCCGAUCAAACCUCCGUUCAUCCGGACCGUCCGAUUAACCUGCAGAUCGGGCCAAUCACAGCCGCAUGAUCUUUCCAUCAGAGAUCCAACGGAUCACAGGCCUCAGCUGCACCGGUGUACCGUUCUAGCGUUCUCACCGUAGCGUAACCCAGAGCAUCUCUCUCCUCUCGCCGGCGACUCCCUCUCUCUCUUCCGAUCUCCCAUCUCCGGCUAUAUCAAGCUUCCAAACCACCACAGAAAGGUCUCUAUCCUCAUGUAAAGCGAACCCCCGGCUGGUUUCAGCGUUGUCGCCGCCCCAUUUAGCCGGAAAAGGGCCGCGAUCGUCGGCUGCCACCGAAGCUUCAAGUCGUCAAUUCUCGCUCAUCAGCCAUCAACGACCGUCAAGACCACCACCAUAAGAAUCCUUGACAUCAGAUCUACCAGGAUCGACCAUCUUUUGACCAGAAAGCCCGCUGGAAAAUCUCCCCGCCGCCAACAGUAGCCGCGCGUGUGCCACACGCGCCGCCAGUGGCAUUUUCGUAAUUUUCAGAGAAAUUCGAGGGUAUUUCAGUAUUUUACCUAUACAGUGACACUCAAGUAAUUUUUUGGGUUUUCUACUGGUAUUUUUGAUAUUUGUUUUCAUAUAUAAAUGCUUGUAAAUUUUCUUGCAUGUUGUAAAAAAAUACAUAAACCAAAGUCGACACGUCUCUUUUUUUAAAAGGACCGAUGUCAAAAAUGUAAAUACCAAAUAUGGAUUAUGUCCAUUAUUUCUUUUGGUAACCCAGACGUAACUCUUUUUUUUAGGGUUAAAACGUCAUAUUUUAGACAAGUCUUCUAAUUUUUAGGGACUGAUGUCAUUUUUAACGUGCCUCCUAUUUUUAGGGACCGACGUUAACCAUUUUAAAAAAACAAAUUACCAAUAAACCCAAAAUAUAAUGGAUUAUAUCCAUUAUUUCUUUUGGUAACUCAGACGAGUCUCCUAAUUUUUAGGGACUGAUGUCAUUUUUAACGUGUCUCCUAUUUUUAGGGACCGACGUUAAUCAUUAAAAAAUUUUACAAAUAAGCCCAAAAUAUAAUCGCAUUUGAAUCAAAUAAAAAACACACAAGUAAGGGUAACCUUUCUUUUGAAAGGAUGUUUUAAGGGUGGUGUCUACCUUCCCUUAAUCAUAACUAACCCCGUAUCCAAAUCUCUGAGACCAGUGUCUAAUUUGGGAUUUCUAGUUCCCUCAAAUUACUAGAUGGCGACUCCAAUAAAAUCUUUAUUUCCCCUAAUCAAAGAAAAAAACCAUUUUUGUUAAAUAAACAAAAAAGCGGGAGCCGUCGCCCGACGUCGUGUAUCGACACCCUUCCCCUUCCCCUUCUCCUUCUCUUUCUUCUUCUUCUUCUGCACUUCUCCAUGUCUCCACUGUUCAGCUACGUGAACAGUGGAGAUCAGCUCCAUUGUUAAUGGGCCGGACCCGGUUCGGCCCAAAACUAAAUGCAUCGAACCGGGUCCGUCCCAAACUUAAAUGCAUUGAACCGGAUGUGACCCAGUAAAAUAAAAAAAAAUCCAAAAUGUUUUCUCAAUAUUGUGUUUUAUUUGAAAAACUAAUGUUUAAUAUGAUUCAAUGGCACUACAUAAUUACAUUUGAAGGAGAUCGUAUGAAGGCGUAGCAUUUGCAGAAUUUGAUCGCAAUUCCAAUUUUGUUCCUGAUGAUAUUUAACCUUAUGUUGUUGCACGCUCAGGAAACCAUGAAAACUAUAGUCCUUAUUGAAUAGAUUUCAUAUAUGAUGAAAUUGAACAUAGUUUAAUCUGACAAUAAAAAUACUUUAUAUAAAGUAUUGUUUAUUUUAUGAUGUAAUAGCAGUAGUUAAAUCGUUAAUAUUUCAAUUAAAAACCAUCAAUAUUAAUGUCUUUUUUAAUUAUUUUAUAACCUCAAUUUGAAAAACAUUUUUUAACCAAACACAUUAAACUACUUUGUGUUCAACUUCAAUUUCAAUCACAGUUUUAACCAAACAUAUAUUUUUCCAAACCAACCUCAACUAAAAGUACUUUUUAUAAAACAACUUUUUUCAAACCACAACCACAACAGCUACCACAAUACCAAACACACCCAGUCGGCCGACGAUUCAUUGCCCUGUUUCACUAUUUAGAAACGUGUCUAUGUGGGAUUUUGGUUAUUUUUUACAGUGUUUUUUAUUUAGAAAUAUAUUAAAAUAAUAUAUAUUUUUUAUUUUUAAAAAAUCAUUUUUGAUAUCAGCGAAAUUAAAAUAAUUAAAAAAUAAAAAAAUUUAUUUUUUAAAAAAUAUUUUUAAAACGCAAAAGGGAUUAGGAGAAUAUAAAAUAGUCACAUUACUAGUUGCUAUGCUCGCGCGUUGCUGUGGGCUUAUGGCGUGCUUGUGCGUUGUCAUGGAUUUGUAAAAAAAAUCAUAAAAUUAUAUGGAGAAACAUUAUUGCAAUCCACAAUGUUUUCAAAAAAAAUUAAACUAUAAAGCUAAAUUCUCAACCAAUUUAAUAUUAAAAAAAUAAAAUAGGCAGAUAAUUUUGAAAAAAAAAAAAAAAAACAAAAGGAAAAAAAAUAAAGUAGGGAAACACUGCAGCAAUCUAUAGUGUUUUGUGAGGAAAUAUACAAUUUUAAUUCUCAACCAACUCAAUAUUUAAAAAAUAAAAUCAAUAAAGAUAAUUUAAAAAAAAAUCAUAAAAAAACGAAAGGAAAAAAAAAUUAUGCAGGAAAACGCUGUAGCAAUCUAUAGUGUUUCAUGAGAAAAUCUACAGUUGUAAUUUUCAACCAGCUCACUAUUAAAAACAAUAAAAUCGAUAAAGAUAAUUUUGAAAAAAAAUCAUAAUAAAAAAAAUCAUGUGGGGAAACACUUUAGCAAUCCACAGUGUUUUAAAAAAAAAAACUAUGAAACUAAAUUUUCAAUCAGCUCAAUAUUAAAAAAAUAAAAUCGACAAAAAUAAUUCUGAAGAAAACACAAAAAAAAAGAUAAUUUUAUGAAAAAAACAAAAAAGCAAAAAAAAAUUAAAAAAAUAAAGAAAAAAACAUGUGGGGAAAGCUAAAGCUAAAUUCUCAACCAUCUCAAUAUUAAAAAAAUAAUUUAACAAAGAUAAUUUUGAAAAAAAAAAUGUUGAGAAAUAUUGUACCAAAACAAAAACCGUGUGGGGGAAAUACUAUAGUAAUCUACAAUGUUUUUUUAUAAAAAAAACUACAAAGCUAAAUUCCCAACCAGCUCAAUAUUAAAAAAAAAAUGCAACAAAGAUAAUUUUGAAAAAAAACAUGUUGAGAAAUAUUGUACCAAAACAAAAACCAUAUGGGGGAAAUACUAUAGUAAUCUACAAUGUUUUUUUAUAAAAAAAACUACAAAGCUAAAUUCUCAACCAGCUCAAUAUUAAAAAAAAAUAAAAAAGUAUCAUUUUGAAAAAAAAAUCAUAUAAGGAAAGAAAAAAAAUUAUACAGGAAAACAUUAUAGCAAUCUAUAAUGUUUUUUUAAUGACAGAGCUAAAUUCUCAACCAGUUCAAUAUUAAAAAAAAUCAGCAAAAAUAAUUUUGAAAAAAACAUACAAAUUUUUUUUAAAAAAGAAGUCAAUCAUGAGAAAACAAAAAAAACAAAAAAGUUAAUAUAAUAAAAAUAAAAGAUAAGGAGAAAACUUUACCACGCUUUUUAGAGUAUUGUUAAUUGUUUAAUUUGAUUCCAGUGCAUAUGCAUGUAUAAUUGUAAUUUGCCUUUUUGUGUGAUUCACACGUGCUCAUAUUUAUGCGCACAUGACCAGAAAUUAUAUAAUCGUAUCAGGCUAUAGAUAUUUAGGGGUAAUUAUUUUCAGUUCAAUUCGGUUUUUAUAAAAAAAAUAACCGAACCAAAAGUCUUUUUUCAAACAAAAAAACUAAAACUGAAACCGGUUCAAACAAACCGCUUUCAGUUCGGUUAGGUUUUUUAGGAUAAAAACCGCUUCAAACCGGUUUGACUUGAUUUUUUCGUUUUGGCUCGGUUUUUUUCCGGUUUGCCUUGGUUUUUUCCAUGUUUUUUUUCGGUUUGGGUUCGGUUCGAUUUUUUUAAUUUUAAGCUUAUAAAACCGAAUCAAACUGAACCGGUCGGUUUUUUAAAAUUUUAAUCGAUUUAAUUAAUUUUUUUUUUCAGUUUUUUAAUUUUCUUUUUAUUUUUUUGAUUUAAUCAGUUUUUCAUUCAUUUUAACACCAUAGGUAGGAGUGGCAAGGUUCGAAAUUAGAUUUGCUCAAGCUGACCUAAUUGAGGAAACAUGAAAAGAAAAUAGUAUUUUAUUUAUGUACAAAAUGAAUACCUGUAUUUUCGUGGUUGGCAAAUUGAAUGCCAUGGCGCGUUAGCAAUUAAAAGUUCGUUGGGGUAGUUGCAUCCUCCCGAGAACCACCCUCUCUCUCUCUCUCUCGAUCCACUCUCUUUAAAACCCAAUACAUUUCUUCCCUUUCGGCAACCCAGUUUUCUCUCUUCUCCUUCUCCUUCUCCAUAUAGCCUUCUGGGGCCUCUUCGUUUUCGUGCAUUCAGGCCAAGACUUUCCAUUUUUUUAGGGUAUUUAAUAAGUGCCCCGGAAAUGGCAGAGGAUCAGAGCAAACAAAGACUGGGACCAGAAUCAGUCACGGUUCAUGAUAGUGAACCAGCUGAAACGAAGAGAAACACCCUCCCAAACUUUCUUCUAUCAGUUAAACUCAAAUAUGUGAAACUUGGUUAUCAUUACUUAAUAUCCAAUGCCAUGUUUCUCCUGCUUAUUCCACUCCUAUUCAUUGCAUCAGCUCAUCUUUCAACUCUUACCAUCCAAGAUUUCGUCCAGCUUUGGAACCACCUCAAAUUCAAUUUUGUCUCAGUAACUGUUAGCUCAGGCCUUCUAGUUUUCUUGGCUACUCUUUACUUCACCAGCCGUCCUAGAAAAAUAUACUUGUUGGAUUUUGCAUGUUACAAGCCCGAACCCGCUCGAAUGUGCACCAGAGAGACUUUCAUGGAGAAAUCAGUACUAGCAGGCAGCUUCAGUGAAGAGAACUUAGCCUUUCAAAAGAAGAUUAUUGAGAGGUCUGGUUUAGGACAAAAUACUUACUUCCCUGAGGCAGUGAUGCGGAUCACACCAAGGCCGGGCAUGGAGGACGCAAGGAAGGAGGCUGAGAUGGUGAUGUUUGGAGCCAUUGAUGAGCUCUUGGCCAAAACUGGGGUUAAAGCUAAGGAUAUAGGCAUUCUUAUAGUGAAUUGCAGUUUGUUCAAUCCAACCCCGUCUCUCUCUGCCAUGGUAGUCAAUCACUACAGACUCAGGGGGAACAUAUUGAGCUAUAAUCUUGGUGGUAUGGGUUGCAGUGCGGGGCUCAUCUCUAUUGAUCUUGCCAAGCAGCUACUGCAGGUAUGAAAACUUGAACAUCCUUCCUAUUUUUUUUUAAAGUUAAAUUCUUUAAUCUGUUCUUCUUAAUUAGUCUCUAGAAUGGGGAGACAACUGACAAGAGCAUGAUACUUAUGGAUAUCUGAUACAAAGGGAGCAGUUCCCUAAAUAAUAUCGUGGCAUCCACAAGAUGUCCAGCUGGUAUUCUUAGGUGACAACAUGCCAUUUCAAGUAUUCAUACAUGGAUAUUAUCUAUCUAUUAUUUAUUAUUUUGAAAUAGAUAAUAGAUAUUUGAAGAAUACACAAAUAUUUUAAAUAAUAAUAAUAAAAAUAUUAUACGCGCGCCGCGUUUAAUGCAUAUAAAUAUACUUUUGGUUAGAUUACAGACGGGUUUUAGAUCGGAAUCACACCCUACUCAUUAUAAGUAAGAUAAUAAUUUAAAAAAUAUACACCUGUUCGGGUCGGAAUCAUCAACUUUGAAUUAAAAUGACAUCAAUACUAAGUGAUAAGCCUAUAUGUAUAGUGAGUUUGAAUUAAAGACGGGAGUUGUAAUCUAAUUAAAAAAGAAAAUGUAGACUUCGAACAAUAAAUGAUAGUCCCACACAACUACUUCAGGUCUGGGAAAAUGAUGUUUCAAAGCAUUUAUAGCUUAGGUAGCAGUUUAUAGACGCCCUUCAUAAAUAGAAGAAAAGAAAGCACCAACAAAAAAGAGUGGUCCUCCGGCUGAGUUGAUGCUGGGAAUUUUCAUUUGAGAUAUAUCCAGCUGUGUGAUUAAUACUCUUUUCAUGAAAAUGAAGCUCACCUGCAAGUUGGGUUCUGCAGAUAUAUACAAGUUGUAUGUUAUGAACUAAAGAUCAGGAUGGAGAAUAUCAUUUCUCUGUUAAAUAUUGCAACACGUGUUUC
rnacentral:lncRNA from 1 species